CCGAGUUAGGGUCCUCUCAUGGCCCGACCUCCCAACCCCUUGUUUAAUUAUACCCAUUGUUGCUUCGGCGGGACGGUCUCCCCAGACCGCCGGAGGGUGCACACCGCCCCUCUGGAGAGUUUUGCCCGCCGACGGCCCCCUUCAAAAAUCUUGAACCCAACCGUGACGCCUAAAUUGAUUUAUUGUAUAAUGUACAAAAAACA
rnacentral:misc_RNA from 1 species